rnacentral:lncRNA from 1 species
UCGUUAUUAAAAAUCUAAUUAUAGAUGCAACAUGUGGGAUCGUUUAGGGAUCCACAACACUUUAGACAAAAUCAUGACAUGAACACCAUAUCCAUUACUUCACUUGGAUCUCAUUCUUCCUAUGCCCCCACAGAAAAGUCAAACACUGAUCUGGCAAGUCUUUGACUGCCGUACUCAUUCCGCCACGUGUACAGCUUUAACUUUGUUCCUAUAAAAACACAACUAAUAAACAGUUAAACACAUUCACACACAAGUAAGAAACGUUUUGAAGAUGGAGGAUAACCGGAAAACUACCCCAAACUCCGGCGAGACCAAACCAGAGACGUCCCUGGAGACGUCACUAUCAUCAGACUUCGAGUUUGGAUCAUUGACUCCCACAUCUC